GACGAACGCUGGCGGCGUGCUUAACACAUGCAAGUCGAACGGAAAGGCCCUGCUUGUGUGCGGUGCUCGAGUGGCGAACGCGUGAGUAACACGUGAGUAACCUUCCCUUGACUCUGGGAUAACUUCAGGAAACUGGGGCUACUACCGGUUAGGCGCUCCAGCUGCAUUGUGGUGGUUGGAUAGUUUCGGCGGUUGGGGCUGGACGCGCGGCUUAUCAGCUUGUUGGUGGAGUAGUGUCUUACCAAGGCUGUGACGGGUAGCCGGCCUGAGAGCGGGACCGGCCACAUUGGGACUGAGAUACGGACCAGACUCCUACGGGAGGCAGCAGUGGGGAAUAUUGCACAAUGGGCGGAAGCCUGAUGCAGCAACGCCGCGUGCGGGAUGACGGCCUUCGGGUUGUAAACAGCUUUCGCCUGUGACGAAGCGUGAGUGACGGUAAUGGGUAAAGAAGCACCGGCUAACUACGUG
rnacentral:rRNA from 1 species